rnacentral:rRNA from 1 species
GACGAACGCUGGCGGCGUGCUUAACACAUGCAAGUCGAACGAAGCGGCGAACGGGUGAGUAACGCGUAAUCAACCUGCCCUUCAGAGGGGGACAACAGUUGGAAACGACUGCUAAUACCGCAUACUGAAGGAGGGGAUUGCGUCUGAUUAGCUAGUUGGAGGGGUAACGGCCCACCAAGGCGAUGAUCAGUAGCCGGGCUGAGAGGAUGAACGGGCACAUUUGGACUGGGAAACGGCCCAGAAUCCUUCGGGAGGCAGCAGUGGGGAAUCUUCCGCAAUGGAAGAAAGGUCGAAGAAGCAAAGCCGCGGGAGUGAUGACGGCCUUCGGGUUGUAAAGCUCUGUUAAUCGGGACGCGGUACCGGAAUAGAAAGCCACGGCUAACUACGUGCCAGCAGCCGCGGUAAUUC